CCUACGGGAGGCAGCAGUGGGGAAUAUUGCACAAUGGGGGAAACCCUGAUGCAGCGACGCCGCGUGAGUGAAGAAGUAUUUCGGUAUGUAAAGCUCUAUCAGCAGGGAAGAUAAUGCCGGUACCUGACUAAGAAGCUCUGGCUAACUACGUGCCAGCAGCCGCGGUAAUACGUAGGGGGCAAGCGUUAUCCGGAUUUACUGGGUGUAAAGGGUGCGUAGGUGGCCGGGCAAGUCAGAUGUGAAAGCCCGGAGCUCAACCCCGGUACUGCAUCUGAGACUGUCCAGUUAGAGUGCAGGAGAGGUAAGCAGAAUUCCUGGUGUAGCGGGGAAAUGCGUAGAUAUUAGGAGGAACACCAGUAGCGAAGGCGGCUUACUGGACUGUAACUGACACUGAGGCACGAAAGCGUGGGGAGCAAACAGGAUUAGAUACCCCAGUAGUC
rnacentral:rRNA from 1 species